AUUGAACGCUGGCGGCAGGCCUAACACAUGCAAGUCGAGCGGAUGAAGAGAGCUUGCUCUCUGAUUCAGCGGCGGACGGGUGAGUAAUGCCUAGGAAUCUGCCUGGUAGUGGGGGACAACGUUUCGAAAGGAACGCUAAUACCGCAUACGUCCUACGGGAGAAAGCAGGGGACCUUCGGGCCUUGCGCUAUCAGAUGAGCCUAGGUCGGAUUAGCUAGUAGGUGAGGUAAUGGCUCACCUAGGCGACGAUCCGUAACUGGUCUGAGAGGAUGAUCAGUCACACUGGAACUGAGACCCGGUCCAGACUCCUACGGGAGGCAGCAGUGGGGAAUAUUGGACAAUGGGCGAGAGCCUGAUCCAGCCAUGCCGCGUGUGUGAAGAAGGUCUUCGGAUUGUAAAGCACUUUAAGUUGGGAGGAAGGGCAGUAAGUUAAUACCUUACUGUUUUGACGUUACCAACAGAAUAAGCACCGGCUAACUUCGUGCCAGCCGCCGCGGUAACAC
rnacentral:rRNA from 1 species